rnacentral:lncRNA from 1 species
CUGUCUUAGUUUUAGCUUGAAUAUUAUACAGCUAGCUUAGUUUCAGCAUUUAAUUAAACAAUACAACACAAAAGAAACAUGCAUGGAAAUCUUAUACACCAUUUCCAUUGGAUUUUGCAUGGCCAUAUAUGGAACACCCAAAAGCAACAAAAUCUACUCGAUAAAUUUUGAUAACAAUAGUGAAUUACUACAAUAUAUGUAUGAAAAUUUAAUUACCUCAUAUAUACAGCAUUUAUGUUACGUUGUCGACUAGGUCCUCUGCAGAAAAAAGCUCAAAAUAUUCUAUUCUUGAUUUUACCACUCGACUUUACAUGCUCUAUCCUGCAAUUGAAUGUUUAUUCUGUUCUGUUUGGUCGCUUUGAUGAUUCCAGGAAGUAAAUGGGUAAUUCCAGGAAGUAUUUGGGUAAUUCCAGGAAGUAAUUGGGUAAUUCCAGGAAGUUGUAGAGGAUUUCUUGGAAGACUAAGAAAACCGUGAACUGCAUGCUUGCUCGAAAUUUGAGGCGACGUUACAGUAAAAUCAUCUUUUGGUAUGCUACUCAUUCUAAUCCAAAAAAUGUAAUCAAGUCCCAAAAAUGUAGUGGGGCGGAUAAGUGAAAGUUUGUGAAUUUUGUGGAGAAAGAACUAUACCGAUAGGAUGUGUAGACUUUGACACAAGUAUGAAUAUCAGAUAUGGAGGCAUCUAUGAAAUUAAUGCUAUAAUAGCCAAAAAAUUUGGAAUUUCUGACAUUUUAUUAUAAAUUUCCAUUACUGCUCGAAAUCUUAAAAUUAAUAUUCUAAAGAACUUCACAAAAAAAUAGAGUUCUAUGGCUAAAAGGUAGACAAAAAAUGUUUAUAGAACAUUAAAGCAGUUUUAUAUAUUCGAAAUGUUUCCUGAACUGCAACCUGUUAAAAAAGGCGAUUUGAAGCUAGUGCCAGUCUUUGCACCUAUUUUAAAAUCUAUUUUGUGCGAUUUCGAAACUGAUUAACUUGUAGACAACUUGGCAGAUAAAAACUGCUUUAAUUUUCUAUAUUCACGUACGGUUUUUUCUGCACGUUUCAACUAUACAACUUAUUAGCUGAAUUCAUAUUAGAGGACGGAUUUCCGUCUGACUCUGAGACGGGAAACUCGUCCAGAUAUAAAUUCGGUUAACGAUGGGUCUUCCGUCUCAACUUUUGAACGUCUGAGCGACGGGAAAGUUAGACGAGUUUCUCGUCUUGGACGGGCAACUCGUUUUAAACUUCAUCAGACGAACAAACUGAAGACGGGUUUCUGCUCGUAACGUUGACUGGGAUCAGUGCAUUUUUAAAGGAUUUUUCAAUGGUAGGGCAAAACUGCCAAAGGGCCCAUUUCCUCCUUGCCUCCCCNNNNNNNNNNNNNNNNNNNNCCCCCCCCCCCCCCCCAGGAUAGUAUGCAAUCGCCGUAGGUGUCAGCCGAGUACCGUAGGCCCACCCCCAGGAAAUUUUUAAAAUUUGGGUCUCUGAAAUAGAAUUUCCCGCAUUCUGAGAACACAUUUUUUAAAAAAUCUCAGCUUCUCAAAACAAAGUUUUAAUAUAUGGUGAAAUUUGUAAUAAAUUCCAUGCUAAACAUUCAAACACAACAUAAAUUUAAGAAUAAUCACCAACAAAUUUUGUUUUUUAAACUUCAUUUCAAUGUUAAACUCAUUUACUCAAUACAGCUCUUAGGGCCCUGGCUUUGGGGCAAUAGGCCAUUUUUUUUCUUCAGUGGUGGCGCAGAGGAAGGGGCUCAGUGGGGCAAAUGCCCCACCAGUCCAUGGCAAUAAAAAAAGCCUUGACUGGGAUGGAGGGUCUUCUAUUUUUUCGUGUUUAUCCGUCCGAUGGUUUUCGUUUCAUAUUCAUAUCAGACAAAAAUCCGUCACACGAGUUUCCCGUUUUAGACGGAAAUCCGGCUUCUAACAUGAAUUCAGCUAUUUUUUGUGAGCUACCUUGGAAUUUUAAAAUUUCUAUCAGUAAUAGAAAUUUGUUAUAUUAAAAUGUCAGAAAUUCAAAAUUUUUAGCUAUCAGUGUUAAUUGCAGAGAUGCCUCCAUAUCUGAUAUGAAUUCAUACUUGUGUCAAAAUUACACAUACUGUCAAUAUGGUCCUUUCUUCACUAACUGCACGAUUAUUGCAAAACCGUGCGCUUAUCCGCCCCACUAAUGUGUUUACCCGUCAAAAGCUGUGAUUCAGUGCCAAAAAUUAAUUCGAUGCAAAGUUUGAAAAUUUUUACAAAAGAUGUUUUACUAAGAGAAAAUAAUAAUAGCAAAAAAAUUCUUCUUACGUUUUGUAAUAAUGCUGCAUGUUUACACGAGACAUUUUCAUAAAGGAUCAUGCGUCGUUUUUAUAGAUCUGGAAUAUUAUAAAGAUAUAGUCAUAGAGGAUAUUAGACGGUUGCGAAGAGAUAUGAAUUUUAUGUUCGGGUGGCAAAAACAAUAUCUCACGAGUGAGCGCAGCGAACGAGCGAGAUAUUGUUUUUGACACGAGAACAUAAAUCCAUAUCUUCUCGCAACCGUUUAAUGUUCUGUUUAUUAUAUGGACUUAUUAAUCAGAGUGACAAAAAUACACACAAAGACGACAUGUAAAUAAGGACGCGAAAGACCAGAGUAGUGAUACCCCCCCAUAGAGUACAAAGGGAUGCCGCCAAUGACGUCACAUUGCUCCGAAAGUAAUUAGUAUGCAAACUUAGGUGUCGGAAGUAAUUAGCAGGCGGAAUCUAUGACGCAGCUUUGCUGGCCCU